UACGGGGGGGGCAAGCGUUGUUCGGAAUUCCUGGGCGUAAAGGGUGCGUAGGCGGCUUUCUAAGUUGGAUGUGAAAACUAUGGGCUCAACCCAUAGCCUGCAUCCAAAACUGGAGAGCUUGGGUACUGGAGGGGAAAGCGGAAUUCCUGGUGUAGCGGUGAAAUGCGUAGAUAUCAGGAGGAACACCGGUGGCGAAGGCGGCUUUCUGGACAGUUACCGACGCUGAGGCACGAAAGCUAGGGGAGCAAACAGG
rnacentral:rRNA from 1 species